CUUUGCUCUAAAUAGCACUGUUCGUUUACAGUAUAUUUUCAUUUUCGAGGUUAUGGCCCUCUUUACCGUCCUCUUUUUGUAAGCAUCGUCUCUCAAGCUUUCGAGCAACCAGCAAUAUCAUAUGUAAUGGCAUUUCAGAUCUCUCUAAAUUUUUCUAAAAUUCUUAAAUAUUCCGAUUAGUUGAAUGUCGGAUAGUCGUUUACUUUGCAGGACUGAAAUAUAACUUGCAGGUGGAAAAUGUAACUAUUCUGCCCGCGGAUGUUAUCCUUAUUUAAGGAAAUCCCAUCCAUUUCUGUGAAAACUGUGUCGUGCCACUUUGAAUUGCUGAAUUUAACUUUUCCUAUUACUUUUGGAUCACUUGGUGUAUUGUUAAUGCAGUGUUGCUUAGUUCUAUUUUGGACCUUGCAUUCAUGCCUCUUCAGCAUGGUCAGCAUAUAACUAUAUUUUACUACAUCUACUGGUGGUUGACCUUUCCCCCAACUGUCUUUUGAAUUCAAUAACCGGUGUUCUUUUCAUGAACGUCAGAGAUAAUUUCCUCUGGGCAUUUGAAUGUGGCUAAUGGUAAUAACAAGGCUCGAAAGAAUAACAGUGAAUCCAGAAGGUUGUUUUCUAGAAAUAUCACCAAACAUCAAUACUGGCAUAUGGCCUACUCUACUUAGCAUGUGCUAGUAUUAGUGAAAGAAGAGUUUUAUUCAAUCUCUAUAGCAUUGAAGUAAAUUUGAAAUAUAAUGCAAUCAGUCAAGUGGAGUAUAAUAUACCUUAGGCAAUCAAGCAGCUUUUGAAUGCUCCUUGGGUAAUAGAGCAGAACUGAAAAUCACCUGAGGCAGUUGAGCAGCACUGGAAAGUGCCUGAAGCAAUCAAGCAGAACUGGAUUGCCCAUCAGGUGAUCAAGCUGAAUUUGAAAACGCUUCAAACAAUCGAGCAGAACUGUAAUGCACCUCAGGCGAUCAAACAGAAUUUGAACGUGCUUCAAGCAAUCGAGCAGAAUUGGAAUGAGCCUCAGGUGAUCGAGGAGAAUUGAGAUAAGCCGCAGACGAUCGAGCAAAAUUGGAAUGCACCUCAGGAGAUCGAAUAGAGUUAGGAUGAGCCUCAGGCGAUAGAUCAGAAUUUGAAUCAGAAUUUGAUAGCCUCAGGCGAUAGAUCAGAAUUUGAAUGAGCCCCAGACAGUCGAACAGAAUUGGAAUGCACCUUUGGUGAUCAAGCAGAAUUGGAAUGCACCUCGAGUGAUCAAGCAUAAUUGGAAUGCACCUCAGGCAAUCGACCAGAAUUGUAACACGCUUCAGGUUAUUGAGCAGAAUUGGAAUGUGCCUCAAGCGAUCAAGCAGUAUCUAGAUGAACGUCAAGUUGAAAUUGGAUGAGCCUCAGGUGAUCAGGCAGAAUUUGAACAUAUCUGAACUUCAAAUUCUGCUUGAUCACCUAGGGCAUGUCCAUGAGAUUUUCGAUUUAUCUGAAGUGACUGAGCAGAAUUUCUUUGAGCUUCUGAAAAUAAGCAUAAUUUCUAUGAUUCUCAGGUAGUCGAACAAGAUUUGGAUUUUGCUCAAGUUGUCGACUAGAAUUCAGAGGUAUAAAUCUUUUUUUCCCUCUCGCUCCCAUUUAAUUGAAAGUAAAAAUAAUUUUGGACCUUGGCUUUUUAACUUUCUGAUGUAAUGAUGUAAUGUAAUGAUGUUCUCUCAUAUAAAUUUAAAUAAUUGUAAAACUGUCUUUUUAACUCCUAAAUUUUUUUAUUACAAUUUUAUUAAUGUUAAACAGAAAAUACAAUGAAAUAAAGGCAAAUUAUUUUCAAAUGAUGAUAAUAUUGUAUAAUUUAAUACC